UUUUGGAUUAAUUUCAUCAGAGAUUGUAAAUGAAACCCAUAAACAAAGGCAUCUCAAACUUUGUAAUUACAAAAAAAAAAAAAAAAGCGUAAAGAAGAGAGUUGGCGGGUGCACGCCAUACGCGAAUUAAUUUUCACCAUCAUCUUCCACCAUAUGUCGUGAGCAAUGGAGGCUUUCCCUCCCCAUUACAAUUACAAAAAAGGUGUCGACCUGUGUCACACCCCCAUCCAAGAAGUGAGCUAAAAAUUAUGAAACUCCAAAGCACUGUCUAAGCAGAGCACACAAACUACUUCCAGCAUCAUCAUUAACAAAAUACUUGAAAAAAGCAAGGCAUGAGCUAUUAGCCCAUACACUUUUAAGCAUAAUGAUUCUAAUCACAUCUCAUUUAACCACGAGGCCAUGAAAACAUACUCAAAGAUUCCAAAAGAAAAUUGACAUUUAAACACAUAAGAAUCAAUCUUAAGAAUCCAUCAAUUUUGCAAUCAACCGAAAAAAAGUCAAUCUCUGAUCUAUAAGACCAAACUUCAAAGUCUAUAAUUUCAAUGAUCAAAUAACAAAUGAUGUACAAAUAAAAUUCAUGGAAAUCUAUAGAAACCUUUGGCAUUAUUUUAGACCAUGUAAUAAGGACAGGCCUUGUUCAAUAAUCCCUUUAAAUUAUUGGGUUGGUUCAAUUACUAUACAAAUUUGCAGAUAUAAUCUAGACAUGUAAAGCACCUAGAAUAUAACAUCUUAGCUCAAAUUUAGUUACAUUUAUUACUAUUUCUAUGACCCAAUGCAGAGUUACAGAAAACUGGUUUAUUGACAGGAAACGCCAACAACCUAAGCUUCUGAUUUUCUUUAAAAAUUCAAUACUAUUCAGAAUAUUGUGAAAACUUCCAAAAUAUUAUUAGACACAACAUAUAAAAUUUUCAAGCCAUUUGGACAACUCCAUAAUUGGUUCUACUAAACAAAUCAAAACUGCCUUUUUAAUUCACACAAAAACAGCUGAGCUUUGGUGAUUUAUUAAAAUUAAAAUACUCAAUAUGUUGGGAUCAAAAUUCCCAGAACAUAAUUACACAUAUAACUUGAUAACAUAUUAAAAGUUCAAGACAUUCUGAUAUCAUUAAGCUAAUGUUUCAUAAGAUCAAACACAAGUGAAUAGUUCUGUCAAGGGGUUUACGGCUAAAGUAGUGGAAUUUGAAAAAUCAUAAAAAACAAAAGAGAACCAGAUGUUCAAUUACCAAGGAACUUUCAACAUUUAAAAUACAUUUAAAAUAGACUUAUUGAAGUUUAAUAUCUCAAAAUUUUAGCUCAUGUUGACACCAAUAGAUUAUUCGUUUAUAACACCAAACAUGGUACAUACACAGUUUUUGAUAAAUUCCAACAGCAACUGACCAAUUUGACAAAUCCAUUAAAAAUCAACUAUUAGUUCAAUUCAUUCCAAAAUGUCCAGACUUGAAAUAUACAAUCCGGCUUUUAUUACUCAAAAUUUUGAAGCGAAUCUAGCAUCAUUUAGUCAUAUUUUGAAACAAUCAAAGUUAUGAUAACAGUCCAACAAUCUUUAAAUUUUCUGCAAAAUCAAUAAACUAUUUAUUAUCUUUUCAGUUCAAUAAUCAAUUUUCUAGCAAAAUUAGACAUGCAAAACCAACAACCACCUUACUUUUCAGUUUUGAGAUAACAAAACAUCAAUUGCACCAAGUUACCUACCUAAAUCACAAGCUUUAACUUCCUGGCCUCUUAAUAAAGCUUUCUGUCACCUUUGCAAGUAUUAACUUCAGUCCUCACAUUACCAAAAAGCCUACCCAAAAUCAAAAGAAAAAAAAAUGAUAAUCAAUCACACUUCCGUUAUACAAAGUCAUAAGAGCUUAUUUAAAAAUUGAGGCGUUUCACCUCUUAACGAAUAGCUCAACUCCAAACUUCCAAUCUAUAGCACUACAUAAUUGAAACAUACCACCACGGAUCAACAAAUAACCCAAAAAAUUGCUAAGACUUUCAAUUAAAAAUAAAAGCUGGUGAUUAUAUAGCAUCAAUAUAUAGAAUUAAAUCAUCAAGCAACAGUAUAUGAUGGUGAGUCUCUAGAAACAUCAAUAAAAAUUUCUAAAAAACGGCAAAAAACAACUUAAAAGUAAUAUAAUGAAUAUCAACACAUAUAAAAUAAGAUUGGUCAAAAAAUUAAAAAUAAAAGAAAAAGAAGCUGAAUGGAUAAAUCUUUACAAAAUUUGUGAGGAGUACCGAUUUUUAGUAUUCCGAACAAUGAGUGUGGAGCUCAAAACGAGCAAACAACACCGAAAACCAAACAAGAAAAAUUAGUAUAUCAAGAGAAAAAUAACACCUAAUAAAAAACCAAAUCUCAAAAAAUUAACCCAAAAAAAAAAAACUAACUUGCUUUGAGGGUUUACGCUGGUAGCUUUAGGCAGCUCACGCGGCAACGAUUUCGGCCAAAGCCAGGAUGACGGCAAUGAAGGUUGAAGAACCGGUGACAGGCAGUUCUUACGGCAACCGUACGACAGAAAUGAUGGUGGACGGUGGGAAAAGCAACAACUGACGUGAUAACAGCUUUGCCUUUCUCUAGCUCUCGUAUACAAACUAAAUACUUGGGUAGAUGGAUCUCAUUGGUUGAUUGGUGUGAGAGAGAAUGGAUUUGGUUUUAG
rnacentral:lncRNA from 1 species